AUUGAACGCUGGCGGCAGGCUUAACACAUGCAAGUCGAGCGGGGGAGGUUGCUUGCACCUUAUCUUAGCGGCGGACGGGUGAGUAAUGCUUAGGAAUCUGCCUAUUAGUGGGGGACAACAUUCCGAAAGGAAUGCUAAUACCGCAUACGCCCUACGGGGGAAAGCAGGGGAUCUUCGGACCUUGCGCUAAUAGAUGAGCCUAAGUCGGAUUAGCUAGUUGGUGGGGUAAAGGCCUACCAAGGCGACGAUCUGUAGCGGGUCUGGGAGGAUGAUCCGCCACACUGGGACUGAGACACGGCCCAGACUCCUACGGGAGGCAGCAGUGGGGAAUAUUGGACAAUGGGCGGAAGCCUGAUCCAGCCAUGCCGCGUGUGUGAAGAAGGCCUUUUGGUUGUAAAGCACUUUAAGCGAGGAGAGGCUACCUGGAUUAAUACUCUAGGAUAGUGGACGUUACUCGCAGAAUAAGCACCGGCUAACUCUGUGCCAGCCGCCGCUGUAACAC
rnacentral:rRNA from 1 species